rnacentral:rRNA from 1 species
UACGUAGGGUGCGAGCGUUGUCCGGAAUUAUUGGGCGUAAAGAGCUCGUAGGCGGUCUGUCGCGUCUGCUGUGAAAUCCCGAGGCUCAACCUCGGGCUUGCAGUGGGUACGGGCAGGCUAGAGUACUGCAGGGGAGACUGGAAUUCCUGGUGUAGCGGUGGAAUGCGCAGGUAUCAGGAGGAACACCGGUGGCGAAGGCGGGUCUCUGGGCAGUAACUGACGCUGAGGAGCGAAAGCGUGGGGAGCGAACAGG